rnacentral:rRNA from 1 species
UACGGAGGGGGCAAGCGUUGUUCGGAAUUACUGGGCGUAAAGGGCUCGUAGGUGGCCAACUAAGUCGGACGUGAAAUCCCUCGGCUUAACCGGGGAACUGCGUCUGAUACUGGAUGGCUUGAGAUCGGGAGAGGGAUGCGGAAUUCCAGGUGUAGCGGUGAAAUGCGUAGAUAUCUGGAGGAACACCGGUGGCGAAGGCGGCAUCCUGGACCGACACUGACGCUGAGGAGCGAAAGCCAGGGGAGCAAACGGG